AUUGAACGCUGGCGGCAUGCCUUACACAUGCAAGUCGAACGGCAGCGGACCUUCGGGUGCCGGCGAGUGGCGAACGGGUGAGUAAUAUAUCGGAACGUACCUUUCAGUGGGGGAUAACGUAGCGAAAGUUACGCUAAUACCGCAUAUUCUGUGAGCAGGAAAGCAGGGGAUCGCAAGACCUUGCGCUGAUUGAGCGGCCGAUAUCAGAUUAGCUAGUUGGUGAGGUAAAGGCUCACCAAGGCGACGAUCUGUAGCGGGUCUGAGAGGAUGAUCCACCACACUGGAACUGAGACACGGUCCAGACUCCUACGGGAGGCAGCAGUGGGGAAUUUUGGACAAUGGGCGCAAGCCUGAUCCAGCCAUGCCGCGUGAGUGAAGAAGGCCUGGUUGU
rnacentral:rRNA from 1 species